CACGUAGGGGGCGAGCGUUGUCCGGAUUUAUUGGGCGUAAAGAGCUCGUAGGCGGCUCCGUAAGUGCGGUGUGAAAACUCCAGGCUCAACCUGGAGACGCCACCUCAUACUGCGGUGGCUAGAGUCCGGUAGGGGAGCAUGGAAUUCCUGGUGUAGCGGUGAAAUGCGCAGAUAUCAGGAGGAACACCAGUGGCGAAGGCGGUGCUCUGGGCCGGUACUGACACUGAGGAGCGAAAGCGUGGGUAGCAAACAGG
rnacentral:rRNA from 1 species